rnacentral:rRNA from 1 species
UACGUAGGGUGCAAGCGUUGUCCGGAAUUAUUGGGCGUAAAGAGCUCGUAGGCGGUCUGUCGCGUCGGCUGUGAAAACCUGGGGCUUAACUCCGGGCUUGCAGCCGAUACGGGCAGACUAGAGUUCGGCAGGGGAGACUGGAAUUCCUGGUGUAGCGGUGAAAUGCGCAGAUAUCAGGAAGAACACCCGUGGCUAAGGCGGCUCUCUAGUACGGUACUGACGCUGAGACGCGAAAGCGUGGGGAGCGAACAGG